UACGUAGGGUGCGAGCGUUGUCCGGAAUUAUUGGGCGUAAAGAGCUUGUAGGCGGUUUGUCGCGUCUGCCGUGAAAAUUCGAGGCUCAACCUCGAACUUGCGGUGGGUACGGGCAGACUAGAGUGUGGUAGGGGAGACUGGAAUUCCUGGUGUAGCGGUGAAAUGCGCAGAUAUCAGGAGGAACACCGAUGGCGAAGGCAGGUCUCUGGGCAAUUCCUGACGCUGAGGCGCGAAAGCGUGGGGAGCAAACGGG
rnacentral:rRNA from 1 species